GACGAACGCUGGCGGCGUGCUUAACACAUGCAAGUCGAACGGAAAGGCCCUGCGUUUGUGGGGUGCUCGAGUGGCGAAGGGGUGAGUAACACGUGAGUAACCUGCCCUUGACUUUGGGAUAACUUCAGGAAACUGGGGCUAAUACAGGAUAGGAGAUCAUGCUGCAUGGUGGGGGUUGGAAAGUGUCGGCGGUUGGGGAUGGACUCGCGGCUGAAGAGGUUGUGGGUGGGGUAGGGGCUGACCAAGGAUUUGGCGGGUACGCCGCCUGGGAGGGUGGACGGCCUCCUUGCUCCUGCGAUACGCCGCAGUCUCCUACGUUAGGCAGCAGUGGGGAAUAUUGCCCAGUGGGCGGACGUCUGUUGCAGCAACGCCCCGUGCGUGAUGACCGCCUUCGGGUUGUAAACCGCUUCCGCCUGUUACGCCGCUGUUGUGACGGUAAUGGGUAAAGAAGCACCGGCUAACUACGUG
rnacentral:rRNA from 1 species